UCAAAGAUUUCACUAAAAGUUAAAAUCUUUAUGUGGUAUCUUCGUAGGGGAGUUGUGCUAACCAAAGACAAUCUUGCACGGCGCAACUGGCCAGGAAGUAAGAAGUGUUGCUUUUGUGCUCAUGACGAGACAAUCAAACACCUCUUUUUCCAAUGCAAGUUUGCACAUUCUACAUGGUCACUCAUCCAAAUAGCGUCAAAUUUGUAUCCGCCAACGAGUAUUGCCAAUAUAUUUGGUCAUUGGUUGGACGGAAUUUCAAAUAGUUUCAAAACGCUAAUAAGGGUGGGGGCGUAUGCCUUACUAUGGUCGCUUUGGCUAUGUAGAAAUGAUUUAAUUUUUAAUGAC
rnacentral:rRNA from 1 species